GAUGAACGCUGGCGGCGUGCCUAAUACAUGCAAGUCGAGCGAACAGACGAGGAGCUUGCUCCUCUGACGUUAGCGGCGGACGGGUGAGUAACACGUGGAUAACCUACCUAUAAAACUGGGAUAACUUCGGGAAACCGGAGCUAAUACCGGAUAAUAUAUUGAACCGCAUGGUUCAAUAGUGAAAGACGGUUUUGCUGUCACUUAUAGAUGGAUCCGCGCCGCAUUAGCUUGUUGGUAAGGUAACGGCUUACCAAGGCAACGAUGCGUAGCCGACCUGAGAGGGUGAUCGGCCACACUGGAACUGAGACACGGUCCAGACUCCUACGGGAGGCAGCAGUAGGGAAUCUUCCGCAAUGGGCGAAAGCCUGACGGAGCGACGCCGCGUGAGUGAUGAAGGUCUUCGGAUCGUAAAACUCUGUUAUUAGGGAAGAACAAAUGUGUAAGUAACUAUGCACGUCUUGACGGUACCUAAUCAGAAAGCCACGGCUAACUACGUGCCAGCAGCCGCCGCAG
rnacentral:rRNA from 1 species